rnacentral:rRNA from 1 species
CCCUAGUAACUGCGAGUGAAGCGGGAAAAGCUCAAAUUUAAAAUCUGGCGGUCUUUGGCUGUCCGAGUUGUAAUCUAGAGAAGUGUUAUCCGCGCUGGACCGUGUACAAGUCUCCUGGAAUGGAGCGUCAUAGAGGGUGAGAAUCCCGUCUUUGACACGGACUGCCAGGGCUUUGUGAUGCGCUCUCAAAGAGUCGAGUUGUUUGGGAAUGCAGCUCAAAAUGGGUGGUAAAUUCCAUCUAAAGCUAAAUAUUGGCGAGAGACCGAUAGCGAACAAGUACCGUGAGGGAAAGAUGAAAAGAACUUUGGAAAGAGAGUUAAAUAGUACGUGAAAUUGCUGAAAGGGAAACGCUUGAAGUCAGUCGCGUUGGCCGGAACUCAACCUUGCUUUUGCUGGGCGUACUUUCCGGUUGACGGGUCAGCAUCAAUUUUGACCGUUGGAUAAAGGUUAGGGGAAUGUGGCAUCUUCGGAUGUGUUAUAGCCCUUGGUCGCAUACAACGGUUGGGAUUGAGGAACUCAGCACGCCGCAAGGCCGGGUAUUUUACCACGUUCGUGCUUAGGAUGCUGGCAUAAUGGCUUUAAUCGACCCGUCUUGAAACACGGACCAAGGAGUCUAACAUGCCUGCGAGUGUUUGGGUGGAAAACCCGAGCGCGUAAUGAAAGUGAAAGUUGAGAUCCCUGUCGUGGGGAGCAUCGACGCCCGGACCAGACCUUUUGUGACGGAUCCGCGGUAGAGCAUGUAUGUUGGGACCCGAAAGAUGGUGAACUAUGCCUGAAUAGGGUGAAGCCAGAGGAAACUCUGGUGGAGGCUCGUAGCGAUUCUGACGUGCAAAUCGAUCGUCAAAUUUGGGUAUAGGGGCGAAAGACUAAUCGAACCAUCUAGUAGCUGG